GACCAUAAACUCAACAUCUAUUAUCUCUGCCAACAAUGCUGAUUUUUAAAAUGUAAGUUUGGUGCUCAAUUUUCAUUGGAACAUCGUUCAUUAGCUGUGGCGCUCUCUACAAUGAAAGUCACAGUGGUACGGAUUUCAGGAAAACUUAACUCAUGAGCUGCUGUGAGCCUCCUUUUUCUCAUCUGUAGAACAUGAAUGAUUUCAAACACCCACGUCUCAUCCCCAUGCUGGGAGGAUCCUCAAAGCCACAGUUAAGCCCUGAUACGACAGCUACCACUGUCCCGCAGGUGGAAGAAAGCCUUGAACCACAUACCUACUGCUCUGGAAAGCUCCCUGGCGGAGCUAGGAAAAGAGGAAGAAGAAGGCUGUAACCCUGGAGACUUCAGUUCUAACUGGAGCCUCUCUAAUGGAAUGUAAGUCAACUCAGACCUGGGGUAGCUCUGGAA